rnacentral:rRNA from 1 species
UACGUAGGGGGCAAGCGUUGUCCGGAUUUAUUGGGCGUAAAGAGCGUGUAGGCGGCCAGGUAGGUCUGCUGUGAAAACUCGAGGCUCAACCUCGAGAUGUCGGCGGAAACCAUCUGGCUAGAGUCCGGAAGAGGAGAAUGGAAUUCCCGGUGUAGCGGUGAAAUGCGCAGAUAUCGGGAAGAACACCCGUGGCGAAGGCGGUUCUCUGGGCAUCUCCUGACGCUGAGGCGCGAAAGCGUGGGGAGCAAACGGG